rnacentral:rRNA from 1 species
AUGGUGCAAUAUCCGAGCUUGUACAGGAUUGUCAGACAUAAAUUUGUCACGAUCAAACAAGUUUUAGGACAAGAAAACCCUGAUAUUUCUUUCCGUAGGGAUCUUCUUGGCCCUUGCCUGGCAGCAUGGAAUGAAUUACUCACUCGCCUGGAGGACAUUCAACUGUCAGGUGAGCCGGACGUCUUUCGAUGGAACUUGCAUCAGAAUGGCAAAUUUUCACUCAAAUCCAUGUACGAUGCAAUGGUUCAUUGUGAUGUUCCAGUUGAUAACAGGAAAUUGUGGAAGCUCAAAAUUCCUCUAAGAGUGAAGAUUUUCCUCUGGUUUCUAAAUAGUGGAGUUAUCCUAACUAGAGAUAAUCUGGCACGACGAAACUGGCAUGGUUCUAAGACAUGUGUCUUUUGCCAAAAUGACGAGUCUAUUAGACACUUAUUUUUUGAGUGCAAGUUUGCUCGGGCAGUUUGGGCCAUAGUUCAAGUAGCUUCUAAUUUAUACCCACCACGUAGUGCACGGAACAUGUUCGGCAACUGGUUGCGGAGUAUUGAUAAACAAUUUUCUGCACAUAUUCUUGUGGGAGCGGCGGCCUUAUGCUGGGCACUGUGGCUUGCCAGGAAUGAUGUGAUCUUUAAUAAUAAAUGUGUCUCAUCUCCUAUGCAGGUUUAUUCAUGUUUGUACACGAUGGCUCCGUACUUGGUCUAUCCUGCAGAGGCCGGAGGACAGGGACCUUUUUAUGAUGGCGUCUACACGGCUGGAGCGUUCGGCCGGGGGUUUUCUACCCCAUUGAUGGCGGUGUGA